rnacentral:rRNA from 1 species
UUCGCCCUUAGAGUUUGAUCCUGGCUCAGAGCGAACGCUGGCGGCAGGCUUAACACAUGCAAGUCGAGCGGGCCCUUCGGGGUCAGCGGCAGACGGGUGAGUAACGCGUGGGAACGUGCCCUUCGGUUCGGAAUAACCCUGGGAAACUAGGGCUAAUACCGGAUACGCCCCUUGGGGGAAAGGUUUACUGCCGAAGGAUCGGCCCGCGUCUGAUUAGCUAGUUGGUGAGGUGACGGCUCACCAAGGCGACGAUCAGUAGCUGGUCUGAGAGGAUGAUCAGCCACACUGGGACUGAGACACGGCCCAGACUCCUACGGGAGGCAGCAGAAGGG